GCUAACGUCGUGACCUCAGCGGUGGUAAUACUAGGGGAGGUGGCGUUGUUCGGAAACAAGGGGGUUCAAGCGGGCGUAGGUGGAGUGGUAAAGAAUGAGUGAAAUCCCAGGCCUUAACCCUGGAACUGCUCUUUAGACUGCCUGUCUGGAAUUCGGAAGAGGUUGGUGGAACUCCCAGUGUAGAGGUGAAAGUCGCAGAUAUUGGGAAGAACACCGGUGGCGAAGGCGACCAACUGGUCCGACAUUGACACUGAGGCACGAAAGCGUGGGUAGCAAACAGGAUUAGAUACCCCAGUAGUC
rnacentral:rRNA from 1 species